rnacentral:rRNA from 1 species
GUUGAACGCUGGCGGCAGGCCUAACGCAUGCAAGUCGAACGGUAACAGGAAGCAGCUUGCUGCUUCGCUGACGAGUGGCGGACGGGUGAGUAAUGUCUGGGAAGCUGCCUGAUGGAGGGGGACAACUACUGGAAACGGUAGCUAAUACCGCAUAAUGUCGCAAGACCAAAGAGGGGGACCUUCGGGCCUCUUGCCAUCGGAUGUGCCCAGAUGGGAUUAGCUUGUUGGUGGGGUAACGGCUCACCAAGGCGACGAUCCCUAGCUGGUCUGAGAGGAUGACCAGCCACACUGGAACUGAGACACGGUCCAGACUCCUACGGGAGGCAGCAGUGGGGAAUAUUGCACAAUGGGCGCAAGCCUGAUGCAGCCAUGCCGCGUGUAUGAAGAAGGCCUUCGGGUUGUAAAGUACUUUCAGCGGGGAGGAAGGGAGUAAAGUUAAUACCUUUGCUCAUUGACGUUACCCGCAGAAGAAGCACCGGCUAACUCCGUG